rnacentral:rRNA from 1 species
AUUGAACGCUGGCGGCAGGCCUAACACAUGCAAGUCGAACGAGAGGCGGACGGGUGAGUAAUGUCUGGGAAAUUGACUGAUGGAGGGGGUUAACUACUGGAAACGGAAGCUAAUACCGCAAACCAUCAGAUGUGCCCAGAUGGGAUUAGCUAGUUGGUGGGGUAACGGCUCACCAAGGCCACGAUCCCUAGCUGGUCUGAGAGGAGGACCAGCCACACUGGAACUGAGACACGGUCCAGACUCCUACGGUAGGCAGCAGUGGGGAAUAUUGCACAAUGGGCGCAAGCCUGAUGCAGCCAUGCCGCGUGUAUGACGAAGGCCUUCGGGUUGUAAAGUACUUUCAGCGGGGAGGCGUUACCCGCAGAAGAAGCACCGGCUAACUCCGUGCCAGCAGCCGCGGUAAUUC